GCGGCCGUAACUAUAACGGUCCUAAGGUAGCGAAAUUCCUUGUCGGGUAAGUUCCGACCUGCACGAAUGGCGUAAUGAUGGCCAGGCUGUCUCCACCCGAGACUCAGUGAAAUUGAACUCGCUGUGAAGAUGCAGUGUACCCGCGGCAAGACGGAAAGACCCCGUGAACCUUUACUAUAGCUUGACACUGAACAUUGAGCCUUGAUGUGUAGGAUAGGUGGGAGGCUUUGAAGUGUGGACGCCAGUCUGCAUGGAGCCGACCUUGAAAUACCACCCUUUAAUGUUUGAUGUUCUAACGUGGACCCGUAAUCCGGGUUGCGGACAGUGUCUGGUGGGUAGUUUGACUGGGGCGGUCUCCUCCUAAAGAGUAACGGAGGAGCACGAAGGUUGGCUAAUCCUGGUCGGACAUCAGGAGGUUAGUGCAAUGGCAUAAGCCAGCUUGACUGCGAGCGUGACGGCGCGAGCAGGUGCGAAAGCAGGUCAUAGUGAUCCGGUGGUUCUGAAUGGAAGGGCCAUCGCUCAACGGAUAAAAGGUACUCCGGGGAUAACAGGCUGAUACCGCCCAAGAGUUCAUAUCGACGGCGGUGUUUGGCACCUCGAUGUCGGCUCAUCACAUCCUGGGGCUGAAGUAGGUCCCAAGGGUAUGGCUGUUCGCCAUUUAAAGUGGUACGCGAGCUGGGUUUAGAACGUCGUGAGACAGUUCGGUCCCUAUCUGCCGUGGGCGCUGGAGAACUGAGGGGGGCUGCUCCUAGUACGAGAGGACCGGAGUGGACGCAUCACUGGUGUUCGGGUUGUCAUGCCAAUGGCACUGCCCGGUAGCUAAAUGCGGAAGAGAUAAGUGCUGAAAGCAUCUAAGCACGAAACUUGCCCCGAGAUGAGUUCUCCCUGAGACUUAGAGUCUCCUGAAGGAACGUUGAAGACGACGACGUUGAUAGGCCGGGUGUGUAAGCGCAGCGAUGCGUUGAGCUAACCGGUACUAAUGAACCGUGAGGCUUAACCUUACAACGCC
rnacentral:rRNA from 1 species